rnacentral:rRNA from 1 species
UACAGAGGGUGCGAGCGUUAAUCGGAAUUACUGGGCGUAAAGCGCACGUAGGUGGCUUUGCAAGUCGAUUGUGAAAUCCCCGGGCUUAACCUGGGAACUGCAGUCGAGACUGCAUUGCUCGAGUAUGGGAGAGGGAGGUGGAAUUUCCGGUGUAGCGGUGAAAUGCGUAGAUAUCGUCCAGAACACCGAUAGCGAAGGCAGCUUACUAAGGAGUAACUGACGCUGAGGCACGAAAGUGUGGGGAUCAAACAGG